UACGGGGGGGGCAAGCGUUGUUCGGAAUUACUGGGCGUAAAGAGCGUGUAGGCGGCCAAACAGGUCCGUUGUGAAAACUGGAGGCUUAACCUCCAGACGUCGACGGAAACCGUAUGGCUAGAGUCCGGAAGAGGAGAGUGGAAUUCCUGGUGUAGCGGUGAAAUGCGCAGAUAUCAGGAAGAACACCAAUGGCGAAGGCAGCUCUCUGGGACGGUACUGACGCUGAGACGCGAAAGCGUGGGGAGCAAACAGG
rnacentral:rRNA from 1 species